GACGAACGCUGGCGGCGUGCUUAACACAUGCAAGUCGAACGGAAAGGCCCUGCUUGCAGGGUACUCGAGUGGCGAACGGGUGAGUAACACGUGGGUGAUCUGCCCUGCACUUCGGGAUAAGCCUGGGAAACUGGGUCUAAUACCGGAUAGGAGCCCUUUUUAGUGUGAUGGUUGGAAAGUUUUUUCGGUGUAGGAUGAGCUCGCGGCCUAUCAGCUUGUUGGUGGGGUAAUGGCCUACCAAGGCGGCGACGGGUAGCCGGCCUGAGAGGGUGGACGGCCACAUUGGGACUGAGAUACGGCCCAGACUCCUACGGGAGGCAGCAGUGGGGAAUAAUGCACAAUGGGCGGAAGCCUGAUGCAGCGACGCCGCGUGGGGGAUGACGGCCUUCGGGUUGUAAACUCCUUUCGCUAGGGACGAAGCUUUUGUGACGGUAACUAGAUAAGAAGCACCGGCUAACUACGUG
rnacentral:rRNA from 1 species